AACGAACGCUGGCGGCAUGCCUAACACAUGCAAGUCGAACGAAGUCUUCGGACUUAGUGGCGCACGGGUGCGUAACGCGUGGGAAUCUGCCCUUGGGUGCGGAAUAACUUCUCGAAAGGGAUGCUAAUACCGCAUAAUGUCGUAAGACCAAAGAUUUAUCGCCCAAGGAUGAGCCCGCGUAAGAUUAGCUAGUUGGUGGGGUAAAAGCCUACCAAGGCGACGAUCUUUAGCUGGUCUGAGAGGAUGAUCAGCCACACUGGGACUGAGACACGGCCCAGACUCCUACGGGAGGCAGCAGUGGGGAAUAUUGGACAAUGGGCGAAAGCCUGAUCCAGCAAUGCCGCGUGAGUGAUGAAGGCCUUAGGGUUGUAAAGCUCUUUUACCCGGGAUGAUAAUGACAGUACCGGGAGGAAUAAGCCCCGGCUAACUCUGUGCCAGCAGCCGCGG
rnacentral:rRNA from 1 species